rnacentral:misc_RNA from 1 species
GAAAUGCGAUAAGUAAUGUGAAUUGCAGAAUUCAGUGAAUCAUCGAAUCUUUGAACGCACCUUGCGCUCCUUGGUAUUCCUUGGAGCAUGCCUGUUUGAGUAUCAUGAAAUCUUCAAAGUAAAUCUUUUGUUAACUCAAUUGGUUUCUACUUUGGUAUUGGAGGUCUUUGCAGCUUCACACCUGCUCCUCUUUGUUCAUUAGCUGGAUCUCAGUGUUAUGCUUGGUUCAACUCGGCGUGAUAAGUUAUCUAUCGCUGAGGACACUGUAAAAGGUGGCCAAGGUAAAUGCAGAUGAACCGCUUCUAAUAGUCCAUUGACUUGGACAAUACUUUUAUGAUCUGAUCUCAAAUCAGGUAGGACUACCCGCUGAACUUAAGC